UACGAAGGGGGCAAGCGUUGUUCGGAAUUACUGGGCGUAAAGGGCGCGUAGGCGGCCGAUCAAGUCAGGCGUGAAAUUCCCGGGCUCAACCUGGGGGCUGCGUUUGAUACUGAUUGGCUUGAAUGCGGGAGAGGAUAGUGGAAUUCCCAGUGUAGAGGUGAAAUUCGUAGAUAUUGGGAAGAACACCAGUGGCGAAGGCGGCUAUCUGGCCCGUUAUUGACGCUGAGGCGCGAAAGCGUGGGGAGCAAACAGG
rnacentral:rRNA from 1 species